UACGUAGGGGGGCAAGCGUUGUCCGGAUUUAUUGGGCGUAAAGAGCGUGUAGGCGGCCAUUCAGGGUCAGCUGUGAAAACUCGAGGCUCAACCUCGAGACGUCGGUUGAAACCGUUUGGCUAGAGUCCGGAAGAGGAGAGUGGAAUUCCCGGUGAUAGCGGUGAAAUGCGCCAGAUAUCGGGGAAGAACACCCGGUGGCGAAGGCGGCUCUCU
rnacentral:rRNA from 1 species